rnacentral:rRNA from 1 species
GACGAACGCUGGCGGCGUGCUUAACACAUGCAAGUCGAACGGAAAGGCCCCUUUGGGGGUACUCGAGUGGCGAACGGGUGAGUAACACGUGAGUAACCUGCCCUUGACUUCGGGAUAACUUCAGGAAACUGGGGCUAAUACCGGAUAGGAAUCCUUGCUGCAUGGUGGGGGUUGGAAAGCUUCGGCGGUUUUGGAUGGACUCGCGGCUUAUCAGCUUGUUGGUGGGGUAGUGGCUUACCAAGGCUUUGACGGGUAGCCGGCCUGAGAGGGCGACCGGCCACUUGGGGACUGGGUGCCGGCCCAGCCUCGUGCGGGGGGAGGAGGGGGGGAAUAUUGAACAUGGGGGGGAGGCCGGAUGCCGCAACGCCGGGGGCGGGAUGCCGCCUUUCGGGUUGAAACCCGCUUUCAGCGGGGGCGAGGCUUGGGGUGACGGUCCCUGAAGAAGAAGCCCCGGCUAACUCCGUG